rnacentral:lncRNA from 10 species
ACAGACUUAGUUCCCAAGAAUUGAAGACCUCAUAUGUUCCUUGGGGUCAGCCAAGCCAGUGGGAAGCCUACGACAUUCCCCUGGGUCACUUAGUGAACUCCUACUCUUUCAUCAGGCCUCACUUGAACAUGACUUCCUCCAGAAGCCUUCCCAGACAUCUUUGAGCUAGAAAGUCAGAAGAGUAGAAUUGGAACCCAGCUCAGUCUGAUGCCACAUCCUUUGUUGUUUCCAUUAAAUCAGAGAAUUUCUUAGUGCUGAGAAACUAUUCUGGAACUUACAACAAAGCGAAACCACGAACCCACUGGGAGGAAUGGACAAUUCCAGAUGUGCUGCCUUAAGAGCUGUAACAGUCACUGCGAAAGUCUGCAGCUUCACGCCUGAAGCUAGCGAGACCACGAACCCAGCAGAAGGAAGAAACUCCGAACACAUCUGAACAUCAGAAGGAACAAACUCUGGACAUGCUGCCUUUAAGAACUGUACUCACUGCGAGAAUCAGUGGCUUCAUUCUUGAGGCUUACUCAUUAAACCUCUACCUGACUUCUUUAUUGGAGACUUUCGCAAGCUGCUCUGAAAAUUCCUUUUUGGUCUGAUGAUGACAACUGCCUUUAAGUUUUGUUUAUCUAAUAUUGGAGUGAACGAAGUCUCAGGUACGUCUUUAUGAGCAGUGUGAAAAUGGACUAAUACAGUAAAUUGGAACCAGUAGAGUGGAGCAUUGCUGAAAAGAUACCUGCAAGUAUGGAAAUGACUUUGCAACUGGGUAAGAGGCAGAGGUUGGAACAGUUUGGAGGGCUCAGGAGAAGACAGGAAAAUGUGGAAAAGUUUAGAACUUCCUAGAGACUUGUUGAAUGGCUUUGACAAAAAUUCUGAUAGCGAUAUGAACAAUAAGGUCCAGGCUGAGGUGGUCUCAGAUGGAGAUGAGGAACUUGUUUGCAACUGAAGCAAAGGUGACUUGUGUUAUGCUCUAGGAAAGAGACUGGUGGCACAUUGCUCCUGUCCUAGAGAUUUGUGGAACUUUGAAUUUGAGAGAGAUUAUUUAGGAUAACUGGUGGAAGAAAUUUCUAAGCAGCAAAGCAUUCAAGAGGUGACUUGGGUACUGUUAAAGACAUUCAGUUCUAUAAGGAAAGCAGAGCAUAAAAGUUCAGAAAAUUUGCAGCCUGACAAUGUGAUACAAAAGAAAACCCCAUUUUCUGAGUAGAAAUUCAAGCUGGCUGCAGAAAUUUGCAUAAGUAAUGAGGAGCCAAAUGCAUAAGUAAUAAGGAGUCAUUGUUAAUCAAGACAACAGAGAAAAUGUCUUCAGGGUAUGUCAGAGGUCUUCACAGUAGCCCCUCCCAUCACAGGCCCAGAGGCCUAGGAGGAAAAAAUUGUUUUGUGGGCCAGGCUCAGGGUCCCCAUGCUGUAUGUAGUCUAGAGAUUUGGUGCUCUGCAUCCCAGCCAUUCUAGCCAUGACUAAAAUGGGCCAAGGUGCAGCUCAGGCUGCAGCUUCAGAGGGUGCAAGCCCCAAGCCUUGGCAGCUUCCAUGUGGUGUUGAGCCUGCAGGUGCACGGAAAUCAAGAACUGAGGUUUAGGAACCUCUGCCUUGAUUUCAGAGGAUAUGUGGAAAUGCCUGGAUAUCCAGGCUGAAAUUUGCUAGGGGUCGGGGGGCAGGGGCCUCUCAUGGAGAACCUCUGCUAGGGCAGUGCAGAAGAGAAAUGUGUGGUAGGAUCCCCCACAGAGAGUCCCUGCUGGGGCACUGCCUAGUGGAGCUGUGAGAAGAGGGCCACCAUCCUCCAGCCCCCAGAAUAGUAGAUCCACCAACAGCUUGCACUGGGCACCUACAAAAGCUGCAGACACUCAACACCAGCCCAUGAAAGCAGCUGGGAGGGAGGCUGCACCCUGCAGAGCCACAGGGGCAGAGCUGCCCAAGACCAUGGGAACCUACCUCUUGCGUCAGCAUGACCCGAUGCGAGACAUGGGGUCAAAGAAGAUCAUUUUGGAGUUUUAAGAUUUGACUGCCCUGCCAGAUUUCAGACUUGCAUAGGGCCUGUAGCCCCUUUGUUUUGGUCAAUUUCUCCCAUUUGGAAUGGCCGUUUUUACCCAAUGCCUGUACCUCCAUUGUAUCUAGGAAGUAACUAACUUACUUUUUAUUUUACAGAUUCACAGGCGGAAAAGACUUGCCUUGUCUCAGAUGAGACGUUGGACUGUGGACUUUUGAGUUAAUGCUGAAAUGAGUUAAGACUUUGGGUGACUGUUGGGAAGGCAUAAUUGUUUUUAAAUGUGAGGACAUGAGAUUUGGGAGGGCCCAGGUAUGGAAUGAUAUGGUUUGGCUGUGUCCCUACCCAAAUCUCACCUUGAAUUGUAAUUCCCACAAUUCCCAUGUGUAGUGAGAGGACCCUGGUUGGAGGUGAUUGAAUUAUGGGGGCAGGUCUUUCCUAUGCUGUUCUCAUGGUAGUGAAUGAGUCUUAUGAGAUCUGAUGGUUUUAAAAACAGGAGUUUCCCUGCAUAAGCUCUCUUUUUGCCUGCUGCCACCCGUGUAAGAUGUGACUUGCUUCUCCUUGCCUUCCACCAUGAUUGUGAGGCCUCCCCAGCCAUAUGGAAUUGUGAGUCCAUUAAACCUCUUUCUUUUGUAAAUUGCCCAGUCUUGGAUAUGUCUUUAUCAGCAGUGUGAAAACAGACUAAUACACUACCCAAGGAAUCUAUAGAUUCAAUGUAAUCUAUAUCAAAUUUUCUUCCAUUGUGUGAGUUGCCUUUUAACUUUCCUAACUGUGUUUUUUGAAAUAUGAAAAUUUUUAAUUUUGAUGAAGUCAAACUUUUUUUUCUUUUUUCUUGUACUUUUGAUUUCACAUGUAAAAUAUUUUAAACAUUUAGGAAAAUGCAAAAGAUAAUAUGGCAUACAAUUAUGUACACACAACAAAGAUUUAACAUAUUUAAUUAUCUACAAGUUUGUUUAUUUUUUAGAACCUAAUUUGUGGUUUAAGAUCCAUGUUUUUUGCCUUUCUUUCAGAGUACACACAAAUUCUAAAUUUCAAAUGUAUCAUUUUCACAUAUAUCUUAAAUAAUCUCAUUAUAUUGAUAAAAAUUUCAAUUUAAAUGCCUUCAGUCAAUUUAAAACAAUGUUUUGUUGUUUAAAACAUUUACAUAAAUGGCAUAAUAUACCUAACUUUUUGCAGGUCAGUUUUUCUCAAUAUUGAUGUUUUUUACAUUUGUUCAUGUUGGCUUAUGUAUAUCUACUAAUUUUCACCUUGGUAUAGUGUUAAAUUACAUAAAUAAAUAAAUAUAUUUUCAUUUUUCCACAGAUAUAAAAUUAGGUUGCUUUUUUUGCUAUUAUAAAUAAUGUUUUAAAGUAUAUCUUUGUAUAUGUCUUUUAAUGCUCAAGGGGAAGCUUUUGAAAUAUGAUUUACCUAGAAGUAAAAUUGUUAGAUGAAAUAGUACAAUUAUUAAAACUUUACUAUACAUUGCCCAAUUGCUUUGUUGUAACAAUUCAUAUCCAACCAGCAAAAUAUGAGUCAAGGUAUCCCUGCUUAAUUAUCAACAUUUUGUCAGACUUGUUAAUUUUUGCCAACAAGACAAUAAUUUGGUAUCUUAUUAAAAUUUGAAUUUUUCUGUUUAUUAAUAAGAUUGGUUUUCAUGUUUAUUGUCUAUUGGAUUCGUUUUCUGUAAAAUUUCUGUUCAUAUCCUUUGACCAUUCUUCUAUUUGUUUUUAUCUUGAUGGCUUCUUAUAGACUAUUUGAAUUUUUAUUAUUAUUUUUUUGUGGCAGAGUUUUUCUCUGUUGCCCAGGUUGGAGUGCAGUGGCAUGAUCUUGGCUCACUGAAACCUCCACUUCCUGGGUGAAAUGUUUAAUAUAUGCUGGAUGCUAAUGCAUUACCAGUUACAUGCUCUGCUCGUACCUGUGUUUUGAUUUUUAUGUUAUUCUUUUCUGUGAAAAGAUUUAAAUU